rnacentral:rRNA from 1 species
UACGUAGGCAGCGAGCGUUGUUCGGAAUUACUGGGCGUAAAGAGUGUGUAGGCGGUGCUCUAAGUUCGGUGUGAAAUCUCCUGCUUAACUGGGGAGGGUGCGCCGGAAACUGGAGUGCUCGAGCGUGGGGAGAGGAAAGCGGAAUCCUGGUGUAGCGGUGAAAUGCGUAGAUAUCGGGAGGAACACCGGUGGCGAAGGCGGAUCUCUGGGCCGUAACUGGACGCUGAGGAGCGAAAGCAUGGGGAGCGAACAGG